rnacentral:rRNA from 1 species
GAUGAACGCUAGCGACAGGCCUAACACAUGCAAGUCGAGGGGCAGCACGAAGUAAGCUUGCUUACUUUGGUGGCGACCGGCGCACGGGUGCGUAACAGGUGUGCAAUCUGUCCAUAAUCGGGGAAUAGCCCAGCGAACGUUGGAUUAAUGCUCCAUGUGAGUUUUAGAGGCAUCCCUUUAAUUUGAAACGUAAGGAUUAUGGGUGAGCACGCUUCUGAUUAGGUAGUUGGUGAGGUAACGGCUCACCAAGCCGACGAUCAGUAGGGGUUCUGAGAGGAAGGUCCCCCACAUUGGAACUGAGACACGGUCCAAACUCCUACGGGAGGCAGCAGUGAGGAAUAUUGGUCAAUGGACGGAAGUCUGAACCAGCCAAGUCGCGUGAAGGAUGAAGGUUCUAUGGAUUGUAAACUUCUUUUGUCUGAGGGUAAAACAGCGGACGUGUCCACUCUUGCAAGUAUCAGACGAAUAAGCAUCGGCUAACUCCGUGCCAGCAGCCGCGGUAAAAC